rnacentral:lncRNA from 1 species
UCCUCAUCUUUUCCACCUGCCAUGCAUACAUCAUUUGUUAAGUUCUCCACAGACUUAGCAGUUGACUCCUCAACAACAGACACUUCAGGCUUCUGGUUCAUUAGAGAAUCAAGCUUCUCUUGCAGGCUUACAAGCUCCCUUGCCAAUGAUUUUCUGAAAUUCCUGAGAUUUGGGUGCAAGCCCUGCUAAACACAACAACCAGUUAAGAAACUGUAUAAGAAAAAGCUGAAAUAUAGGGAACUUAGAAUCUUAGUAAGCACGAAUACUGAGAAGGGCAGAACUCCCAAACUGCAUUAACAAAAGGACUAAUGCAUUUUAAAACCCCAUAUAUACUUCAAGACCAAUUACUUCAGGUUUCUUUACAUAUAAGCAUGUGUGUCUGUGUGCAUGGGCUGCUUAGGGGACUGAUUUCAAGAUCCCCUGUUUUUGAUAUUAAGACGUGGACCUUUAUAAGUUUUAUUCGUGCAUAUGGGAUCUGUAGAACAUAUUGGUUGAUGUAGUUGAAAUCUAAGUUCAUGUCUAAGAAGCCUAAUUAGGCCUUCUAUCCAUUUUCAACCAAUGGGAACAAGCAUAAAAUACAUGACAAAAGGAAAGAAGCUAAAAGUGUAAGCAAUACACAUACCUGAAUGGCAUCCAAUUUUAGCAGGAGGCUCAUUAUGGUUUCUCCAAUUAUCACUCUUUGUCUAUUGUCUCUCUGAAGAUCAGAGAGAGAUUCCAGGGCCUGAAUGCGAUUCCUGAUCUCAUCUGCUUCCUCACGAACUUUAGCCAGUUGCUUCAAUUUCUUCAAUGGCUCCCAUUUCCUCACUUCAAAUCCACGAUAGGCAGACUGGAUGAUCACUGCAGCUUUUGAAUCAGACAAGUUAUUUUUCUCUGCUUUGGGUGCUUUAUCAGAUUUCUUCUCUUCCACCUCACUCCCCGCUUUAUCUUCUCCUAUCUUGCAUUUACAACCAUCUGAUUGGAUUUUAUCCAUUGCCUUCUGCUCUUCAAUUGCCUCCUCAGAUAUCUUACUUUGAGCAUUUCUUUCCCCAUCCUUUUUAGCUUGAUACUCACCACCAGCAACCCCAGGUUUUUCUGCAGUUAAGUCAUCAGACACCUCUGUGCGAGGAUCAAUUGGCAAGUUCACAGGAGACUGUGAAUGAGUCGGAGUCGGAAUCUGAUUCUGAGACCCACAGUUAGAAAUGUCGUCAACUUUUUGUUCAGCUGUCUGAUCUACUACCUUAACAACUUUUAGCUCCUUUUUGUUUGGCUCCAGUCCGUGGCUCUUGUUAAUGGUAGUCUCUUGAGAGCCUUUCAAUCCUUCUGAAGGAGAAGAAGCCUUUAUAGUGUCAUUUGAUGUCUCUUGUGAUUUCCCUCUCUGACCAGGAGGACUAGGGGACCUCGAACUGCCAUUCCCAUUCUUCUUCUUAGGCAAGGGAUCUACUCUCAGACAAACAGGAGGUAACUUGGCCAUCCUUGGGGAGGACGGAGACUGCCUUUUAG